rnacentral:rRNA from 1 species
UACGUAGGUGGCAAGCGUUGUCCGGAUUUAUUGGGUUUAAAGGGUGCGUAGGCGGUCUAUUAAGUCAGUGGUGAAAUAUGGCAGCUUAACUGUCAGGGUGCCAUUGAUACUGAUGGACUUGAGUGAAGUCGAAGUAGGCGGAAUUGACGGUGUAGCGGUGAAAUGCUUAGAUAUCGUCAAGAACACCGAUAGUGAAGACAGCUUACUAGGCUUAUACUGACGCUGAGAAACGAAAGCUUGGGUAGCAAAAGGG